rnacentral:lncRNA from 1 species
UCUUAAAAAUGAGAUCAACAGAAACCUAAAUUAAUUUUUAUUCUGAUCAGAGAGCACACAUGCACUAGCUCGCUUUCGCACUCUCUCUCUCUCUCUCUCUCUGUUAAAUUGCCUAUCCACAUACUCGGGAAAUUAUGUCCUGUUUUAAAUAUCUCAUUGGUGAGCAACAGACAGGAGGAGCCCCAAAUGUCAGACACUUGUCUGGCACACACACAUAGAGAAGCUGGCUCCGGCAGGAGCUCAAGCUGUGAGACUCAGCUAAUUCCUAUGUGG